rnacentral:lncRNA from 1 species
UUGGCUCUGGACUUUUUAUGAUGCUAGCCACUUCAUUUGGUACCCCUUCAAUCACAUCAGUAAUGCUUGAUUCUUUGUUGUUGUCCUCUUCAACAACCUUUUCCGCUACUACAGGAGAAGGUUCCACAGUAUUUGCUUGAGGUUCUUCAUUCGAUGAAACUUGUGCUGCAGUUUCAGUGAAGCUAGUUUCCCCCUCUUUGUCAGUUUUCACAAUAUUUGCUUGAGGUUCUUUAUUGUCAUCCUCUUCAGCAACGUUUUCUGCUACUACAGGAGAAGGUUCCACAGUAUUUGCUUGGGGUUCUUCAUUCGAUGAAACUUGUGCUGCAUUUUCAGUGUGGCUAGUUUCCUCCUCUUUGUCAGUUUUCACAAUAUUUGCUUGAGGUUCUUUGUUGUCAUCCUCUUCAACAACCUUUUCGGCCACUACAGGAGAAAGAUCCACAAUAUUUGCUUGAGGUUCUGCAUUGGAUGAAACUUGUGUAACAUUUUCAGUGUGGCUAGUUUCCUCAUCCUUGUCAGUUUUAACUUCCUUGAUCGUGUCAUCUGAAGUUCCUUCACUCUUGGAGAUCUGAAGCACAACUUCAGCAGAAGGUUCCACAAGAUUUGCUAGAGGUUCCUCAUGUGAUGAGACUUGUGCUUCAUUUCCAGUGAGGCCAGUUUCCUCCUCUUUGUCCGUUUUCUCUUCCUUGACCGUGUCAUUUGAAGUUCCUUCACUCUUGAAAGUCUCAACCACAACUUCAGUAGAAGGUUCCACAAGAUUUGAUCGAGGUUCCUCAUUUGCUGAAACCUGUGCAGCAUUUACAGUGAGGCUAGUUUCCUCCUCUUCAUCAGCUUUCUCUUCCUUGAUCAGGUCAUCUGAUGAAGUUCCUUCAGUCUUGGCAGUCUGGAUCACAAUUUCUUGCUUAGUCUCCACAUUCUUACUAUCUUUCACAACUUCCUCAUCUACUUGUUGUUCUCUUGACUUUUCCUCCAUUUCAAUCGACUGAGGUUCUGUAUUCUCUAUCUUUUCAGGAAUUGUGUCUGACUCUGAGUUGUCAAUCACCUUCUCAGUAUUGUCUUGUUGCUCCA